rnacentral:rRNA from 1 species
UAUCCUGUCUGAAUAUGGGGGGACCAUCCUCCAAGGCUAAAUACUCCUGACUGACCGAUAGUGAACCAGUACCGUGAGGGAAAGGCGAAAAGAACCCCGGCGAGGGGAGUGAAAAAGAACCUGAAACCGUGUACGUACAAGCAGUGGGAGCACAGGUUUACCUGUGUGACUGCGUACCUUUUGUAUAAUGGGUCAGCGACUUAUAUUCUGUAGCAAGGUUAACCGAAUAGGGGAGCCGCAGGGAAACCGAGUCUUAACCGGGCGUUAAGUUGCAGGGUAUAGACCCGAAACCCGGUGAUCUAGCCAUGGGCAGGUUGAAGGUUGGGUAACACUAACUGGAGGACCGAACCGACUAAUGUUGAAAAAUUAGCGGAUGACCUGUGGCUGGGGGUGAAAGGCCAAUCAAACCGGGAGAUAGCUGGUUCUCCCCGAAAGCUAUUUAGGUAGCGCCUCGUGAACUCAUCUCCGGGGGUAGAGCACUGUUUCGGCUAGGGGGUCAUCCCGACUUACCAACCCGAUGCAAACUGCGAAUACCGGAGAAUGUUAUCACGGGAGACACACGGCGGGUGCUAACGUCCGUCGUGAAGAGGGAAACAACCCAGACCGCCAGCUAAGGUCCCAAAGUCAUGGUUAAGUGGGAAACGAUGUGGGAAGGCCCAGACAGCCAGGAUGUUGGCUUAGAAGCAGCCAUCAUUUAAAGAAAGCGUAAUAGCUCACUGGUCGAGUCGGCCUGCGCGGAAGAUGUAACGGGGCUAAACCAUGCACCGAAGCUGCGGCAGCGACACUGUGUGUUGUUGGGUAGGGGAGCGUUCUGUAAGCCUGUGAAGGUGGCCUGUGAGGGUUGCUGGAGGUAUCAGAAGUGCGAAUGCUGACAUAAGUAACGAUAAAGCGGGUGAAAAGCCCGCUCGCCGGAAGACCAAGGGUUCCUGUCCAACGUUAAUCGGGGCAGGGUGAGUCGACCCCUAAGGCGAGGCCGAAAGGCGUAGUCGAUGGGAAACGGGUUAAUAUUCCCGUACUUGGUGUUACUGCGAAGGGGGGACGGAGAAGGCUAUGUUGGCCGGGCGACGGUUGUCCCGGUUUAAGCGUGUAGGUGUGUGUUCCAGGUAAAUCCGGUUCACUUUAACACUGAGGCGUGACGACGAGGCACUACGGUGCUGAAGCAACAAAUGCCCUGCUUCCAGGAAAAGCCUCUAAGCAUCAGGUAACAUCAAAUCGUACCCCAAACCGACACAGGUGGUCAGGUAGAGAAUACCAAGGCGCUUGAGAGAACUCGGGUGAAGGAACUAGGCAAAAUGGUGCCGUAACUUCGGGAGAAGGCACGCUGACACGUAGGUGAAGUGAUUUACUCAUGGAGCUGANUCAUCUCCGGGGGUAGAGCACUGUUUCGGCUAGGGGGCCAUCCCGGCUUACCAACCCGAUGCAAACUGCGAAUACCGGAGAAUGUUAUCACGGGAGACACACGGCGGGUGCUAACGUCCGUCGUGAAGAGGGAAACAACCCAGACCGCCAGCUAAGGUCCCAAAGUCAUGGUUAAGUGGGAAACGAUGUGGGAAGGCCCAGACAGCCAGGAUGUUGGCUUAGAAGCAGCCAUCAUUUAAAGAAAGCGUAAUAGCUCACUGGUCGAGUCGGCCUGCGCGGAAGAUGUAACGGGGCUAAACCAUGCACCGAAGCUGCGGCAGCGAACGUAUCACUUAAAGCGAUUCAGCGGGUUACGAUUGACGGAGCGAAGCGACGUCAAAGCGUAUACAAAGUCGAGUCGGUUUAAGGAUACGUUCGUUGGGUAGGGGAGCGUUCUGUAAGCCUGCGAAGGUGGCCUGUGAGGGUUGCUGGAGGUAUCAGAAGUGCGAAUGCUGACAUAAGUAACGAUAAAGCGGGUGAAAAGCCCGCUCGCCGGAAGACCAAGGGUUCCUGUCCAACGUUAAUCGGGGCAGGGUGAGUCGACCCCUAAGGCGAGGCCGAAAGGCGUAGUCGAUGGGAAACGGGUUAAUAUUCCCGUACUUGGUGUUACUGCGAAGGGGGGACGGAGAAGGCUAUGUUGGCCGGGCGACGGUUGUCCCGGUUUAAGCGUGUAGGUGUGUGUUCCAGGUAAAUCCGGUUCACUUUAACACUGAGGCGUGANGACGAGGCACUACGGUGCUGAAGCAACAAAUGCCCUGCUUCCAGGAAAAGCCUCUAAGCAUCAGGUAACAUCAAAUCGUACCCCAAACCGACACAGGUGGUCAGGUAGAGAAUACCAAGGCGCUUGAGAGAACUCGGGUGAAGGAACUAGGCAAAAUGGUGCCGUAACUUCGGGAGAAGGCACGCUGACACGUAGGUGAAGUGAUUUACUCAUGGAGCUGAAGUCAGUCGAAGAUACCAGCUGGCUGCAACUGUUUAUUAAAAACACAGCACUGUGCAAACACGAAAGUGGACGUAUACGGUGUGACGCCUGCCCGGUGCCGGAAGGUUAAUUGAUGGGGUCAGCGCAAGCGAAGCUCCUGAUCGAAGCCCCGGUAAACGGCGGCCGUAACUAUAACGGUCCUAAGGUAGCGAAAUUCCUUGUCGGGUAAGUUCCGACCUGCACGAAUGGCGUAAUGAUGGCCAGGCUGUCUCCACCCGAGACUCAGUGAAAUUGAACUCGCUGUGAAGAUGCAGUGUACCCGCGGCAAGACGGAAAGACCCCGUGAACCUUUACUAUAGCUUGACACUGAACAUUGAGCCUUGAUGUGUAGGAUAGGUGGGAGGCUUUGAAGUGUGGACGCCAGUCUGCAUGGAGCCGACCUUGAAAUACCACCCUUUAAUGUUUGAUGUUCUAACGUGGACCCGUNAUCCGGGUUGCGGACAGUGUCUGGUGGGUAGUUUGACUGGGGCGGUCUCCUCCUAAAGAGUAACGGAGGAGCACGAAGGUUGGCUAAUCCUGGUCGGACAUCAGGAGGUUAGUGCAAUGGCAUAAGCCAGCUUGACUGCGAGCGUGACGGCGCGAGCAGGUGCGAAAGCAGGUCAUAGUGAUCCGGUGGUUCUGAAUGGAAGGGCCAUCGCUCAACGGAUAAAAGGUACUCCGGGGAUAACAGGCUGAUACCGCCCAAGAGUUCAUAUCGACGGCGGUGUUUGGCACCUCGAUGUCGGCUCAUCACAUCCUGGGGCUGAAGUAGGUCCCAAGGGUAUGGCUGUUCGCCAUUUAAAGUGGUACGCGAGCUGGGUUUAGAACGUCGUGAGACAGUUCGGUCCCUAUCUGCCGUGGGCGCUGGAGAACUGAGGGGGGCUGCUCCUAGUACGAGAGGACCGGAGUGGACGCAUCACUGGUGUUCGGGUUGUCAUGCCAAUGGCACUGCCCGGUAGCUAAAUGCGGAAGAGAUAAGUGCUGAAAGCAUCUAAGCACGAAACUUGCCCCGAGAUGAGUUCUCCCUGAGACUUAGAGUCUCCUGAAGGAACGUUGAAGACGACGACGUUGAUAGGCCGGGUGUGUAAGCGCAGCGAUGCGUUGAGCUAACCGGUACUAAUGAACCGUGAGGCUUAACCUUACAACGCCGAAG